GAAGCGCUUUUUUCGUUCAACUGUUCAAGCUUCUGCUUUUUCUCUAGCGUCUCUCUCUCUCUGUAACCCAGUAAAGCAAGUCAUCAUCACUGAUCAGUCACGGCAGAGAGAGAUAAAGCUUUCAGCUUUUUUAUUUUUUUAGAAAAAAAAUUAAUUUUUUUCUGUGUAAUAUCAUAGAGAGAGAAAGAUAAACAGCUUUUAUUGUUGUACAGAGAGAGAUAAACGAAAGAGAAAGGUUCUACCCUAGAAAUAUGCAUUGUGAUAAGGACUUGUGUCAAAGAGAU
rnacentral:misc_RNA from 1 species